rnacentral:lncRNA from 1 species
AUUGUGUCCCUGAAUAAAGUACUUUUGGAAAAAUACCGAAGUCAUGCCUACAGAACGAACCACCACUUGAAAGCGGUGGAAUCCAUUGAAACCCACUGCCUGACUGAAUGCUGGGAACAGCGGUGUUGGGUUACAAGCUAAGGGGAAAUAACUUAGUAAAGCCAUGUGACUGUGUGACUCUCAGUCUAAUCCCUGGUGACACGUCCCCUUUGCUGCACGUGACACGUGAGCCUCAAGUCCACUGUUUUGUAGGCAGAUCAACUCACCCCAGGUAGAUUUCUAACUAAAACCAGUUCCACAUUAUCAAUGGACCUGUCCGUCUGGAAGUGGUUGGCUUGGAUACAUGGCAGGUUUUUUGAAUGGUUUUGCCACAUCUGUUUAUACAUACACCUGGAGGCAGGAAGUUUCUUUUGGAGGCAAGGGUAGGGUGGGGUGGUUGACUGGGGCUGGGGAGGCAGACAGAAAUAUGUUUAUGGUUCUCAAGACUGCUUUCUACCCCGGGGAAGGCAGGUUGAGAACAGAUUGCCUCUGGAGUCCCUGGGCAUAUUCCAGUGGUAUAUGGGAAUUCUGUUCUUUCCGAGCACUUACUGUAAAUUAAUAAAGAAUUUCCAUGAAUCUGGAUAUAUGGCACGCUGGAUUGAAGGGAGCGGACACAGGAUUGAGUGCUUGAGACUCACUCCACGUGGCUGGAUUUUAAUCUGAAAGGAUCUGAUUUUGUGGCACUUCCAAAGGUGGAAGAGAAACCCUCUUCACCAUCCCAGGAGAUGUAGGGUGUUAGAAGAAAAAAAGACGUGUCCUUCAAGCCACAAGCUGUGUGUCCACCCUGAGCCUGUCCCUAGCCUGAGGUGCUUUGGACUCAAUGGUUUGAGUGUCUUUGGGAAUGUAAUUCCUCUCAGAGUAUCUCUGAGGCACUUGGCAAAGACGGGGCUCCCUCUUGGGGGACCUUUCCCUGAUGGUGUGUGGGUAACGACUGCGCUUUCUGUGUUUCUUCAGACUGCUGGCUUUUCUGAAGCUCCUUAAGAGCACCUGUCACACCGAGCUCUGUCAGUCUUGAAGGACAGUGACUGAAGGACACUUGUCCCUGGUGUGUGAACAAGGGAUUGUGCUCAGGGCAAAGGCAGGAGCCACUCUGGUCAUUUUUCUGUGUGAGGUGUCUCCCCCUCCCCCUUUUAAGAUAGGGCCUCUCUGCAUAGCCAUAGAGGCCCCUCUUCUUCCUCCACUUCUGUUUCUUUGCUUAUUUUAUCAUUAUUAUUAUUAUUUUCCUUUUAAGUUUUAAAGGCAGAAUGUGGGCUCUGAGAGCAAGCCGACUUGCCCUGGCUGGCUUGCGCGCGCGCUCUCGCUCUCUCUCUCUCUCUCUCUCUCUCUCUCUCUGCUCAUUUGCCUUCCUGUAACAUGGAAAGACAAAUAGACCCUUAAACCUGACUCUCAAAGCCACUGCCAACUUUUUCCUUUGUGCGUAAGUAGUUAUAUUAUUUCUAGGUUACGCUCUUUAUCUUUGAAAGGGAAAAGAAACUACCAUGGACUGUUUGCAGGAACGCAUUGUUCCAGGCUUGCCUAGUUGUACCUGUGAUGCCAUUUUCCACUUGGAACCACAGGGACGAUAAGGUCGUUCUCAGACGGUGAGCCUUUUAAAAUACAAAACACAUAACUUUAAUAUGCAGUGGUCAUAUUCCUCUUGCAUAUGGCAUGUCUCUC